UGAAAAUACGGGUUAGGGUUAAGUGUAAAAUGCUGGGGUGAACCAGUGUGGCAGACCUUCCUGUGUCUGCUUGUAGAAUUUGUGUUUUGGCAGAAUUUGAUGUAGUAGUUUUCUGUUUACUCAAAAAAAUUAUGUAAAUACACAUGUACACAUGCUAUUUAUACUUUAAAAAGUAACAUAUAUUUUGAAGUAUGUAUGUGCACACAUACAUAUACGUGCAUACACGUACCUCUAACUGUACCUUUGUUACUUGCCUGCCCAUAUACACUUCAUAUGAAACGGGGAGAGAACAACAUGAAAUGGUUCAAGGGACUCAAAUGGCUGCAGGGCAGUGCUUGUCAAGAGACGGUUCAGUAAACACUGACUGAAGUGGCUUCACCUGUGAAACAAAAACACACACAUCUUUUAUAUUUACUUUUUUCCUUUCCUUUCUCCUCACUUUCGGACUACAAUAGCAAUAGCAGCCUUUAUGGAGGGAAUUUCUUCUAAAUACUGGCUAACGAGAGUUAAUGAGCUUCCACAAUUUCUCAGUUCACCAGCUCCUCCCAGAUGGUCACUAAUCCCAGCAAAUGCCUUGUACCUCAAUUGCUCACUUGUUUCCUGGAAGAAGAGGCAACAGACCUUUAGUGCUUCAAAACGGAAAGAGAACUAAGAUUUUGUGACAGUCAUUCUGAUCUGGCCUGGAUAAAGCAGAACUGAAGAUACCUGAAGGAAGCUAGACCAAGAAUGAAAAAGCAUCAGAUGGGAACAAAUAUAAUUAAUCCAUAUUAGCUGCCAUAUUGUCCAAGAAGGGGAGUGGCAGCUCCGUAACAGCAGCAGCAGAAAGAGCCCAUGAAAGAAACAAAAAAGCAGAGGAGUCUGUCAUGUCAUGUGUAUGUAGAAAGCAUCCUGUGCAUGAAUUAUUUUGCUGUGGUGAUGACUGAAGCCUUCAAGAUCACUUCUCCAUUAGGAGAAAAGUUAGCUAGGUAUCCUUAGACACCAGCUUCCAUUUCCUUUUUCCUCCGUGGCUUUUUCAUAUAAAAAACAUCA
rnacentral:lncRNA from 1 species